rnacentral:rRNA from 1 species
GUGUCAGCAGCCGCGGUAAUACAGAGGGUGCGAGCGUUGUCCGGAAUCACUGGGCGUAAAGGGCGAGUAGGUGGCUUGUUAAGCGUGUGGUGAAAGCCCGGGGCUCAACCCCGGGUCUGCCGUGCGAACUGGCAAGCUUGAGCAGAGUAGAGGCGGGUGGAAUUUCGGGUGUAGCGGUGGAAUGCGUAGAUAUCCGAAAGAACACCGGUGGCGAAGGCGGCCCGCUGGGCUCUUGCUGACACUGAACCGCGACAGCGUGGGGAGCAAACAGGAUUAGAUACCCUGGUAGUCC